AAAUCUUCGGAUUCUGAGUAGAGUGGCGCACGGCCCCAGUAACACGUGGAUAACCUGCCCUAUGAUCUGGGAUAACACNUCGAAAGGGGUGCUAAUACCGGAUAAGCCCCCGAGGUCUUCGGACCUAGAGGGAAAAGAUUUAUCGUCAUAGGAUGGGUCCGCGGUCCAUUAGCUAGUUGGUGGGGUAAUGGCCUACCAAGGCUGCGAUGGAUAGCUGGUCUGAGAGGAUGAUCAGCCACACUGGAACUGAGACACGGUCCAGACUCCUACGGGAGGCAGCAGUGGGGAAUUUUGCGCAAUGGGGGCAACCCUGACGCAGCAACGCCGCGUGAAGGAUGAAGGCCUUUGGGUCGUAAACUUCUGUCAGAGGGGAAGAAAUACUCGAAAGAGAGAUGACGGUACCCUCAAAGGAAGCACCGGCUAACUCCGUGCCAGCAGCCGCGGUAAUACGGAGGGUGCAAGCGUUGUUCGGAAUUAUUGGGCGUAAAGAGCAUGUAGGCGGACUGUUAAGUCUGGUGUGAAAGCCCGGGGCUCAACCCCGGAAGUGCAUUGGAUACUGGCAGUCUUGAGUAUGGGAGAGGAAAGUGGAAUUCCGAGUGUAGGAGUGAAAUCCGUAGAUAUUCGGAGGAACACCAGUGGCGAAGGCGGCUUUCUGGACCAAUACUGACGCUGAGAUGCGAAAGCGUGGGGAGCGAACAGGAUUAGAUACCCUGGUAGUCCACGCCGUAAACGAUGGGUACUAGGUGUUUGCGGGUAACCACUCCUGCAGUGCCGCAGCUAACGCAUUAAGUACCCCGCUUGGGGGAGUACGGCCGCAAGGCUAAAAACUAAAAGGAAUUUUGACGGGGGGCCCCGCC
rnacentral:rRNA from 1 species